CAGCCGCCACGGGAAUACGUAGGUGGCAAGCGUUGUCCGGAAUUAUUGGGCGUAAAGGGCUCGCAGGCGGUUUCUUAAGUCUGAUGUGAAAGCCCCCGGCUCAACCGGGGAGGGUCAUUGGAAACUGGGAAACUUGAGUGCAGAAGAGGAGAGUGGAAUUCCACGUGUAGCGGUGAAAUGCGUAGAGAUGUGGAGGAACACCAGUGGCGAAGGCGACUCUCUGGUCUGUCACUGACGCUGAGGCUCGAAAGCGUGGGUAGCGAACAGGAUUAGAUACCCCUGUAGUCCCUGUCUCUUAUAA
rnacentral:rRNA from 1 species